rnacentral:rRNA from 1 species
CCUACGGGCGGCAGCAGUGGGGAAUAUUGCACAAUGGGGGAAACCCUGAUGCAGCGACGCCGCGUGAAGGAAGAAGUAUUUCGGUAUGUAAACUUCUAUCAGCAGGGAAGAAAAUGACGGUACCUGACUAAGAAGCCCCGGCUAACUACGUGCCAGCAGCCGCGGUAAUACGUAGGGGGCAAGCGUUAUCCGGAUUUACUGGGUGUAAAGGGAGCGUAGACGGCAAGGCAAGUCUGGUGUGAAAGGCAGGGGCGCAACCCCUGGACUGCAUUGGAAACUGUCAGGCUGGAGUGCAGGAGAGGUAAGUGGAAUUCCUAGUGUAGCGGUGAAAUGCGUAGAUAUUAGGAGGAACACCAGUGGCGAAGGCGACUUACUGGACUGUAACUGACGUUGAGGCUCGAAAGCGUGGGGAGCAAACAGGAUUAGAUACCCGAGUAGUC